UGAUGUUUCAAGCUGGGGAUUAAAUGCUUCAGAAGAGGAAGACUUUACAAGAGCAGAGGGACUCUCAAGGAAUAAAGAUCCAAUUAGCAUAAAACUGCCAUGGACACAGGGGUGGCCGAGUGGCCAGCUGUGCCCUGAAAUGCCUGAAGCCAUUGCAAUCAGUGCUCCACUGUCUGAGGCUCCCAAAAUGAAACACUUUGAACACUCAUUCAAAGGUGUGAAAGCAUGAAAUUGGCACAAUGGCCAGCUCCUGCAGCACUUCCCAUUUUUUUGCACUGCCUUCUGCCUCCCUUGUCUGCCCUUUCCGCUCUCCGUCCCUUGAUUCUGACAGUUCUUCAAACGUCUGCUUAAAGAGCUGUGGCAGCCUGGGAGAGAGAACUGGAACGUGUUCUCAGGGAAUCUCUAUCUUGAAGUGAAAAAAGCUGAGGAAAAAACAACUCCAUUCAAAAACCCUGAAAAGUUGGCUAAGACAAUGGACAAGAUGGACCUGAGAAAUAUGACUCAUUCCAAUGACAGACCGUCCCCUAUUCAGAAGGGAAACUAAUAAAGAUUCCUAAAAUGUAAGCAAACCUGCCCAAAUAUCCACAUUAUUUUACUGAACUAAAAUACUCAAAGAUGCAAGUGAAGACUAUAUCCAUCAGCU